AAACAUUUUCUUCUCUUCCCUCCCUGCUAAUUCCCAGUUGGCUCCCACCGACUGGAUGGCAGCAGGUCUCAUGGAGGAAAUUUCCAAGCCAGCCCUUCCAGCAUGUCGGGUGCAAAGCACGGGGCCCCAUCCNCCCUGGCCCCUCAGACCCCAGGUGGCAAUGGUAGCAGUUUGUUCGAGCGGUUUGUUCAGGGAUUGGAGAAGGUGAUACCACAACCCGUGAACCACGCAAAGCAAGGAAACCAGAGCGCGGAGGUUGCAGGCGUGUGCCCGGGGCAAGAAAGGAGCAAAGGAUCUUAGUGCCUCUGAAACAAAGGGACCGGAAGACCCUGGCCGGCUGGGCGUGUCCUGCGCUUCCAGGACAAAAGGCUCCAUUCCCCCCCCCCCAAUUAAAUAAACCUUAGCUUAAAGCGCA
rnacentral:lncRNA from 1 species